ACAAAGAAUUCCAUACCCACACAGACCUCUUAAAUGAAGCUUCUAGAUUGAUAGGGACCACUGGGUUUCGGACAUGAAGAUGUGAGGAGCAACUAUAAGUACUUGGAGAAAUCAGAAGAUUCCAGAGGACUGUGAGCACAAUGUGACAAGAAAGCAAGGAACUAACGCAGCACAGCUCAGAAGUUUCAGAUGCAUGCAGCUGGGAUAAUUAUAGUGAGCAUGACCUCAGGAAACCCUGCCCAUGUAUGACUUGGUGAUUUAAUAUAUACAGUGGAAUUAA